rnacentral:snRNA from 1 species
AGCCGAGCUAUGAACACAAAGCGAACUAUUCUUUCGCCUUUUACUAAAGAAUACCGUGUGUUCGUAGCAUAAAUCGGCAUACGCCAAUUUUUAUAGAGUUAUCUCCACUGGAGAAGACU